AGAGUUUGAUCCUGGCUCACGACUAACGCUGGCGGCGUGCCUAAUCCCCCCUUACUGGGGGGUUUAUUUUUAGCUUGCUCCCGGAUGUUAGCCCUUUUAGGGUGAGUAACACGUGGGUAACCUGCCUGUAAGACUGGGAUAACUCCGGGAAACCGGAGCUAAUACCGGAUAGUUCCUUGAACCGCAUGGUUCAAGGAUGAAAGACGGUUUCGGCUGUCACUUACAGAUGGACCCGCGGCGCAUUAGCUAGUUGGUGGGGUAAUGGCUCACCAAGGCGACGAUGCGUAGCCGACCUGAGAGGGUGAUCGGCCACACUGGGACUGAGACACGGCCCAGACUCCUACGGGAGGCAGCAGUAGGGAAUCUUCCGCAAUGGACGAAAGUCUGACGGAGCAACGCCGCGUGAGUGAUGAAGGUUUUCGGAUCGUAAAGCUCUGUUGUUAGGGAAGAACAAGUGCGAGAGUAACUGCUCGCACCUUGACGGUACCUAACCAGAAAGCCACGGCUAACUACGUGCCAGCAGCCGCGGUAAUACGUAGGUGGCAAGCGUUGUCCGGAAUUAUUGGGCGUAAAGGGCUCGCAGGCGGUUUCUUAAGUCUGAUGUGAAAGCCCCCGGCUCAACCGGGGAGGGUCAUUGGAAACUGGGAAACUUGAGUGCAGAAGAGGAGAGUGGAAUUCCACGUGUAGCGGUGAAAUGCGUAGAGAUGUGGAGGAACACCAGUGGCGAAGGCGACUCUCUGGUCUGUAACUGACGCUGAGGAGCGAAAGCGUGGGGAGCGAACAGGAUUAGAUACCCUGGUAGUCCACGCCGUUAACGAUGAGUGCUAAGUGUUAGGGGGUUUCCGCCCCUUAGUGCUGCAGCUAACGCAUUAAGCACUCCGCCUGGGGAGUACGGUCGCAAGACUGAAACUCCAAAGGAAUUGACGGGGGCCCGCACAAGCGGUGGAGCAUGUGGUUUAAUUCGAAGCAACGCGAAGAACCUUACCAGGUCUUGACAUCCUCUGACAACCCUAGAGAUAGGGCUUUCCCUUCGGGGACAGAGUGACAGGUGGUGCAUGGUUGUCGUCAGCUCGUGUCGUGAGAUGUUGGGUUAAGUCCGCAACGAGCGCAACCCUUGAUCUUAGUUGCCAGCAUUCAGUUGGGCACUCUAAGGUGACUGCCGGUGACAAACCGGAGGAAGGUGGGGAUGACGUCAAAUCAUCAUGCCCCUUAUGACCUGGGCUACACACGUGCUACAAUGGACAGAACAAAGGGCUGCAAGACCGCAAGGUUUAGCCAAUCCCGUAAAUCUGUUCUCAGUUCGGAUCGCAGUCUGCAACUCGACUGCGUGAAGCUGGAAUCGCUAGUAAUCGCGGAUCAGCAUGCCGCGGUGAAUACGUUCCCGGGCCUUGUACACACCGCCCGUCACACCACGAGAGUUUGCAACACCCGAAGUCGGUGAGGUAACCUUUAUGGAGCCAGCCGCCGAAGGUGGGUCUUAAAAGGGGGUGAAGUCGUAACAAGGUA
rnacentral:rRNA from 1 species